rnacentral:lncRNA from 1 species
AUGUGUCUGCAACUCAUCGUAGUACAUCCUACUCAUGAAGAUGGGUGCUGCUGUGUGACUUUAGAAGCCUGGAUGUGCCUUGAAGAAAUGCUGAAGGAGUCGGUGGCUUCUGCAGUUCAACCAGGUGCGAUGAACUCCGCGUCACAGAUUGUCACCAAUGGCAAUUAACCAAAGGAAGGUUACUAUCUUAAUCUCUCAGACCACACCAACAGUCUAUUGCAGAUGUGGAGGUACUGUAAAACCUUUUGAAACUGUAGGUGUUUAAUGGUUUUCUGGUAUGUUUUUUUUUUUUUUUUUUUUUUUUUUUGAAAUGUCAAAGGACUCGUUUUAGGUUUGGCCGAACACUCAAACAGUGUUUUGCCCUGUCUCCAGAACCCCAAUGGACAGGAUUGUUAAUGACUCUCUGUGUUGGAAAUCUCACCAGGAAUUUGGCUCUGGAUGGAUUCGGCGUGCACCAACGUGCCCUGACUGUUUGACUGACUGAGGGUGUGGGUGGUAUUGUGUUGUGCAAUGUAGGGUCAAGGUUGUGGAUAUUGUAGCUUAGAUCGUAGAAUGCCGGCAUGUUGUUAGUUGGAGUUGAGCUUGUGGAUUAGUUGAUUAGUUUUGUGGUGGUUGAGGUGUGGUUUUUUGGUGACUUGACUGGGACUGAGAGCAAGCAACCAACCAACCAAAAAACAACCAAAAAAGGAGCAAGGAAUGCCAAAUGUGUCGCACAACAGGCACCAAGGAUUUCUCAAUGUAACCAUUGUGUGGAAACGGUGACAGCAAGGAGACAUUGUGGACAAAUGAAAUACAAACAUACUCAAACACGGUGUUGGAACAGAGCAGCACAUGACUGCUAAAGUAAAGAGCAAGGAUGGAAAACGCAGUUGUAACUACAAACGAGCAAUGCUAUCAGCAAACGCAUCCAAACCUGAAUCAAAGCUGUGGACAACAGGGAAAUAAUUUCAAAACAACAAUGUACUUGCACAAGGGAAUUGUGGAAAUGCAAGUACGGGUUCUGUGACCAACAUGAUAUUCAAAUGUGCUGGGGUGCUGGGUUUUGGAAUCUCAGCACUUUC